rnacentral:rRNA from 1 species
AUUGAACGCUGGCGGCAUGCCUUACACAUGCAAGUCGAACGGUAACGGGCCUUCGGGUGCCGACGAGUGGCGAACGGGUGAGUAAUACAUCGGAACGUGCCCGAUCGUGGGGGAUAACGAGGCGAAAGCUUUGCUAAUACCGCAUACGAUCUACGGAUGAAAGCAGGGGACCGCAAGGCCUUGCGCGGACGGAGCGGCCGAUGGCAGAUUAGGUAGUUGGGGGGAUAAAAGCUUACCAAGCCGACGAUCUGUAGCUGGUCUGAGAGGAUGAUCAGCCACACUGGGACUGAGACACGGCCCAGACUCCUACGGGAGGCAGCAGUGGGGAAUUUUGGACAAUGGGCGCAAGCCUGAUCCAGCCAUGCCGCGUGCAGGAUGAAGGCCUUCGGGUUGUAAACUGCUUUUGUACGGAACGAAAAGCCUUCUUCUAAUACAGGAGGGUCAUGACGGUACAGUAAGAAUAAGCACCGGCUAACUACGUGCCAGCAGCCGCAGUAA